rnacentral:rRNA from 1 species
GACGAACGCUGGCGGCGUGCUUAACACAUGCAAGUCGAACGGAAAGGCCCUGCUUUUGUGGGGUGCUCGAGUGGCGAACGGGUGAGUAACACGUGAGUAACCUGCCCUUGACUUUGGGAUAACUUCAGGAAACUGGGGCUAAUACCGGAUAGGAGCUCCUGCUGCAUGGUGGGGGUUGGAAAGUUUCGGCGGUUGGGGAUGGACUCGCGGCUUAUCAGCUUGUUGGUGGGGUAGUGGCUUACCAAGGCUUUGACGGGUAGCCGGCCUGAGAGGGUGACCGGCCACAUUGGGACUGAGAUACGGCCAAGACUCCUACGGGAGGCAGCAGUGGGGAAUAUUGCACAAUGGGCGGAAGCCUGAUGCAGCAACGCCGCGUGCGGGAUGACGGCCUUCGGGUUGUAAACCGCUUGCGCCUGUGACGAAGCGUGAGUGACGGUAAUGGGUAAAGAAGCACCGGCUAACUACGUG